rnacentral:lncRNA from 1 species
GGCACUGGGAGGAGGGGAGAGGCAAGAGUUAGGGGAAUACCGAGGAAAGUGGCAGGGAUUGGAGGCUCCUGGAGAAAGGGCAAGGCUGAAGGUUGUCCCAUGUAUUUUGGCCAGAUUUGAUUAUGUAAUCGAGAAUCAUGAGAUAAUUAAGUGUGUUCAUGUCUCUGGAGCCUUCAACCAGCUCUUUUAACAUCUUGCUCUUCCCAGCAUUCCUUAGGGUCUUUGGCUGGGCUCUGGGAUGGAUGCCAUGGGAGUACCUUUACUUAAGCUCUAAAGUUACCAAUGGAGAGACUGGGACUCAAAGAGGAACUUGAUUGGACCCCAGAGAGGUGAGGGGUAAGGGCUAGAACCUCACACAUGCUGGUUUUGCUGCUGCCUGGCAGGCCCAUGGGAAGAACUUUAGAGGUUCCAAGGAAUUGGAAAAGGGUCACAAGAUGGGUGGCCAAACUCCCAGCUCAGGCUUGAUUCCUACUCUCAAUGUGGGGAUAGUGGAGAAGGGGGCUGCAGGAAGGGCUGAGAAAAGCUGAGAAUGAGAAGUUAUACAGGAGGUAGCUUGGUGGGAGUGAAACAAAAAUGAGUGGUUCAUGGGCCAGCCAGGCAUCCUGAUUUCCAGCUCACAGCAGCAGGAGCUUCAGAGAGGAAGAAGGAGAGGAGGAGAAAGCCAGGUUGAUGUUAGUAAAGGUCAAACAAUUUCAGGAGCACCUCUGACCUCCCUCCACACAGGUUUUCUUACCUUGACUAUGCAGAGGGUGGUCCAUCUUGGCACUGAAGAUGGAACCCCCUCUUCCAUGGUCUGGGGUGACCCCAUGCCUGUAACUGAAUGUGCUCAGAUCCUUGGGGUGCGGGGACUGUAGGGGGAGGAUUUGAAGGUGUGGGACUGUCCUGGCUGGAGACCACUGGGUCAGGAGAACUCCAGUAGAGGGUUUGGGUGCUGGGAACCAGGAAGAGUGGGGGAAGGGGCAGAGCCAACUCCAGAGGCGGAUCUCCUGGCUGAGGACAGAGGGUGUAUUGUCCAAGCUGGAGGUUGCUGUAGCUGGGCGGGGAGCAGCUCAGCUCGUCUCUUCCAAAUUUCUUUUGGGGGAGGGUAAGGGAAGGCAAGCCCCCCUUUACUUGUGGCCCUGGGGGCUACAAUGGUUGCUGAGAAACAAGGCUUAUUUGACAAAUAAUGCUUCCCAGGAGCAGAUGUGUAGCUCUCUCACUUCCUGAGAAACCAGAUGCUGUGAGCUCGCUUAGCACUUGAGGCGACGCCCUCAGCACGAACUGGGACCCUAGUGCCUUGGGAUCCGGAGUAUAGUGCUUGAUUCUAUUGAGAAGAAACGAGGCUAAUGUGGACUGGGAGACACACGGGACCUAAUCAGCCUCAAGUUAGCCCUUUUGAAGUAGGUUGCUGCACCUGCACUUUCCCCCUACUCGUCCACUAGUUCAAGAUUUACAAGACGUUGACAAUGAGGGCUGACCAGUCCUGGGUCCACUCCUGCAGCUGGGGGGCUUCUCGGUGGACCCACACUUUUUUUUUGAGACAGGGUCUUGCUCUGUUGCCCAGGCUGGAGUGUAGUGGUGUGAUCACAGCUCACUGCAGCCUUGACCUCCUGGGUUCAAGUGAUCCUUCCUCCCAAGUAGCUGCAACUAUGGGCAUACACCACCAUACCUGGAUAAUUUUUCUAUUUUUUUGUAGAGACAGGGUCUUGCCAUGUUGCCCUGACUAGUCUCAAACUUCUAGGCUCAAGCGAUUCUCCUGCCUCAUCCUCCCAAAGUGCUGGGAUUACAGGUGUGAGCAACCAUUGAGACAAGAGUCUCGCUCUGUCACCCAGGCCGGAGUGCAGUGGUGCGAUCCCGGUCCACUGCAACCUCCACUUCCCGGGUUCAAGCGAUUCUUCUGCCUCAGCCUCCUGAGUAGCUGGGACUACAGGUGUACACCACCAUGCCUAGCUAAUUUUUGUAUUUUUAGUAGAGACGGGGUUUCACCCUAUUAGCCAGGCUGGUCUAGAACUCCUGACCACAUGAUGUGCCCGCCUUGGCCUCCCAAAGUGCUGGGAUUACAGCUGUGAGCCAUGGCACCUGGCCACACACGUCUUUUUAAAUUUAAAUGAGGAUGUGGCCAUAUUACAGCCCAGGUUUUCUCUGACUUUAGAGUACCUUUUGGGACAUAGGGCCUUCCUCUCUACCCUUUCUGUACACAGCCAUCAUAAACCUCUUUCAACAAGCCUUUCCUAUUUUUAUGUUCCUUCUUUCCAUCAUUUACCUAGACCUCAUUAUUGCACAGCUGAGAGUGGCUUGAAACAAAGGCUUGGAGAAUGUGAGUGAAACUGAUUCCUGUGGUGGAGAGGCAGUGAAAAAGCAUUACCUUGUAGGUUUCCAGGCAGCCUGGACAAUAGGGGCACCUAAACCCACAUUGAAAAGCCUUCACAUCAUCACAGCUGAGUCUCAUAGCCUUCAACUUUACCAGUUUUGGAGAACAGAGAUAAAUGCACUGGCCAGAAACUAGAAGAGCAGCUGCUCCAAUUGGCUGGGAAAUCAUUUAACUGGCUCCUCAUCUUGGCUCUUAAAUCCCCAAAAUUGUUGACUGAGGUUUCCCGGGCUCCUUUCUAUGCUCCACCUCCUUGUGACCUUAAGGAUUCUCUGCCACUGUCCUAACCCCUUUCCCGCCUUGCAACAAUGACCAGUCUGUCCCUAGCUGUUUGGAAAAUUCCCACUGAGUCUGUGAGCCUCUGUUCUGGUAACCUCGACCAGCCUGUCACCAGUAUCUCUGGUCCACCAGUGCGGUGUAACUCAAGGGAGCAGCAUCUCUCCAGAUUGCUGAAGUGAGGGAGGGAGAUUAUGAGGGAACUGCCCCAAGGACACAAGGAUUCAUUCUUAGAGUUCCCACAUCUUGAUUAAAAUAAACAGUACAGGAAAUAGACUGCAGGCACAUCCAGGUGAUUAAAAAAUUUAACACCAGGCAAAAAAAAAAAAAAAAAAAAAAAAAAAAGCCAGAGGGGAGCUAGGAUGCAAACUCUAUUAUUGGGCCUCAAUAAACACUGAAAUAGAUUCCCUUGUAACCCCACCCUCUAAUCUUGGACAAUAUGGUAUCCAAUACUGAAUGAAAACUUCAGAGAUGGUAGGAGGAGGAGGAGCAGGUGGUCAAUGACUACAGUAAAAACCACUGGGAGUGCAGAGUAUUUGUCAAAGAACUUCAGCAUUACAAUGAACUUUAAAGAUCAGAUUUAUUUGGAGAAAACAAAAAACCCACAACCCAAAGGAUGGGAUUUUACAUCAAGACAUCUCCCAGGUAAUAAGUCUACAGAUUACAAAUCAUUUUCAUAGAAGAUAUUUUUGUACAAAUUUUACAUGUAUUCAGGAGCGGGACAUUAAUCAAUCCCUGUUUCUAUUUUAAUAGGGGGGACAAGGUAGGGGAGAGGGAAAAACAGUUUUGGAUAUAACUAUUUGGAAGGAGAGUAGACAUGAAGAGGGCAAACCCUAGCUUUUCAUUAUCUACAAUCAAUAGUUUGUUUUUCUUUUUUAAAAAAGAAAGAAAAACCCUUUCAAUCUUCAAUACUCUUUAAAAGCCCACUUCUUAGCUACUGGCCAAUCCACACCAAUUAUUUAAAUUCACUUGGUACACACCUUUGUCCACUGGGUAAAUUAUAUUCAUUAUGCCCACUGCUGCAGCACGCAUAAACCAACACCCCUGCAUGGCUGAACAGGGCCUAAUCUAGGACUGAUGGGAGAAGGGCUUGCAAACCAAGAUCAAGGUGUUUCUCCGCUAAUACUGUCUACCAAGCUGAUCCCUACAAAAAUGCAUAUAAAAGCAGGCAAGUUUAGCUACUGUGUUGCAAGAGAAACCAGGACCUUGUUAAAUAGUUCUCUCCAUUACCAUUUAUUCUCUCAAGGGAAGCUUAAAAAAACAACAACAAAACAACACAUUGGUCUGGCCACCUCAUGAAUCCAACAAGCAUUAGUGUGGCAUUUCAGUGGAGAAGGAAACUUGGGGGGAAAAAUCCCAUCAAGGUUGUAAGAAAGGCUCCCAAUUUAACUGUCCCUGUCCCUAUUUAUCCAUCAUCCAAGACCAUCCAUUAUUCUAGAGCACUCUGAUCAAUAAAAGGGGUCCAAGCAUCAGGAGCAGGCAAGGAGAACCAAAAGACAUCAAGAAACCGAUUUGCUUGAGAAAAGCAGCGAUUCUUCCUUUCAGAGUUCUCCAUGGCUGAGAAAAUGCCCAAGACAUCAUGUAUGUGACUUAGAUACUGCUUUUUGGGAGGUUAAGAGUAGCAUGAAGAACUUAAGAUGAUGAUAAGAGUCUAAAUUUUUAGUUUCAAGGUUUCAAUAGAAUGUGGAUAUAUUCAAAACUUUCAAAAAGGACAGUGUUUAGAAAGGGUAAAACUAGGACACAGAAAACACUGGGAAUUACCACGACCCCCAAGUGCUUCCGGCUCCAGGAAAUAACCAUUCAUGUGUUUGCUGGAGGUCACACAAUUUUCCCCUAUUACCUGGUGCAAAAUGACUCAUCACUUCCCAAAAGCUUCUUUUCAAACCACGAUUUUCCCAUUUAUUUUGGUCCAAUGCAGUCCCAUUCUUUAUGGCCUAUAGUCUCACUCCCAACUACCCCCCUGGGGGGUUAAAAAAAAAAAAGGAAUUCCCUCUAGGCUGGCCCCCAAAACUCAGAAUUAAAUAAGAGGAGGGGCUGGCAGCCUCCUGGAGACUAGAACAACUUGAGGCUAAAUCUACCUUUCCAAGAGUGGAAAAUUUAUUCAGAUAAUGUUUGAGAAUUCAUAUAUGCCACAAUAGGAUAAAAACUAAAAGGUAGAAAUCUCACACUUUUCCUUCUACCUCCCUCCCCUACUGCCCAACCAGGUUCCAGGCAUUAUAUCACUGUCAUUACCAUUUCUGCUAAAUGGAGACCCCUAGGCACUAAUCACACUGGCAACUGCAUGGUGACAUAACGCACCACAACUUUUCCUCUAAAAAGCUGUAGUCCCUUUCUCUCUGGCUGUAUUGGCAAUUCUCCAGUUACUUCAAUACUUUAAAGGCUGCAGCAGCAUGCAAAAUAAUUUCAUUUUUUGUUUUUAAAAAAAGGUAAGAAAGGUCUUCAGGAGAUGGUGAGUUUUAUUUUGUCUUGUCUGGAUAGAGGUUUUGAUUUGCUCUCGAAUGUUCCAGGGUGGAGAGAAACUAGGAGAAAAGCACAGGAUGUAGAGGUCUAUUCGGCAUAAUCUUCUCCCUCAUUUUCAUCUUCACCAUCAACAGAGAGAGCAGCAUACUUGCUUGCAGAACUGAACUUCUGUAACACAACGAGAGUGACAGGAUAAUGAAGGCCCUGAAUUAUCACAUCAAAACCCAAGACACAGGAUACUGAUCCUUUGGCAAUGGGGGAUGACAGUCAGAUGACACCCACUUGCUUGCUCAUCAGCAUUGUCCAUUGGAGAGGAGCUAGGGAAGAGGGUCAGAGGCACAUGCGAUCUUACUAUAGUCUCAUACCACCUCUACACCUUGCAGAAGGGAUGAGAACAAAGGAAGACAGAAACCAGGAAAAAGCUAAACUUCUUUCGCUAUUUCAGUAAAGACCAAUGUCUUAUUUCCAAACACUUUGUAUUCCAAAUGGAAAGAAGUCCAACGGCAAAAAGUUUAGAAUACUAAGAAUUUUUAAUUCUUAGUAAGAAUACUUAGAAUUCUAAGAAUUUUUCUUAGAAUGAAAAAUUGGGAGCAGCCUUCAACACUUACGGAAGCUGGAUUUUCCUCAGGUUUCUUUGGCUCAGGUGCAGAUCUGGAGUCUUGAUCCUUUUUGCCAUCUUUCCUGCAGAGACGUAAGCAUAAAACCAUGUCUUUAGGAAAGGACUCGCCUAAUACAAACAUGUGUAUGCAUGCAGUUUCAAGGCACUGAACAGGCACCUCUAGUCAACAGUCCUUGUUGUCUGGAUGAUGUAUUACUUCUAGAUUUUCAGAAUCUUAACUGUCUACGUUGGCUGACUUUAGUUUGCUCACAAUGAGCGAUCUGGCAGUGCUCUGAGAACCAAGAACUUAAUUUCUUAAUUACACAAACAUGUGGAUCAGAGGAAAGAUGAGAAAGAGAACAAGCAUACCUAUCUGACUCCUUCCAGUGGUCUCUGUUCCCUCCGUCGCCUGGACCACGGCUAGAGUUCCCAGUUUGGCCUUUUGGGGCAUUCAUCCCAUCUACUUUAUUUUCAUCUGCUUGGGCAGUAAUGUAAACAAAUUAAAGGCAAGUAAAAGUAUCAAUGUCCCUCUCCUAAGAUUUCCCUUAAGCUGAAGAAAAUUGUGCCCACAUGUACUGAGGGAAACUAACCUCACCCCAACCCAGACUUCCUUCCUGAAGCCCUUCUUUCCACAUCCUCUACAGCACACAAAAAUACAAAAAACAAACAAAAUCCACUAAAAAGUUCCAUGUAGGGAUAUGCCAUCAUGAAAAGCAAGCUGGAAAUAAAGAUUAUGACGCUCUGUAGUGACCUUGGUUAAUUUCCUUCCGAUUUUUUUCUCCCCGUCAAAGAAAUGUUCUACCAGGAAAGGGCAGGGUUUCAUACUUUCUCCAAAGAGGCCACUCCUCCCUCUACUGGCAAGAAAAGGUAGAUAACCC